GCGGGUGUAGCUCAAAGGUAGAGCAUCAGCUUCCCAAGCUGAGGGUUGAGAGUUCGAUCCUCUUCACCCGCUCCA
rnacentral:tRNA from 1 species